GUAAGACCUAAAAAGGGAAAAAAGUUCCAGCAAAACAAAAGUAGAGACCUGGGAAGUGAUGGGCAACUCCUGAGACAGAGUAGCCCUGACAUCUUAAUCAGUGAACAAUUAAGAUCUUGACAAAGGGCUGGGGAUAGCCAUGGGGACACUUCCAUCAACCUACUUUCUUAGAAGUGCUCUGUAGCCCCGGAAUAAAGUUCCACAAAAGCAUCCAUGCCCAGGACACGCUGACCAGCGGACAGAGAUCCUAGUUGUCCUUCCACAGCUUACAUACAUGUACCCUGAAAUGAACAAGUCCCAAUGUUCCUUGGUCCCACCCUGUGAGAAAAAUUCUUCCCUUGCAAAUUCUUCAGCAUUUUUUAUUGUUAGGAAUCCUCAAAUCUGUUCUGUUGUAGGUAGUUCCACUUCCUGAGUACCUGCCACCUCCCUUUGGUCUUACCUGUGCCAGCCAAGUCCUCUUCUCACACUGUGGGCCUGUUGGGUCCUGACACUGCAACACUGAGAUCUGAAACUGCUCAUUCUUUACCCCGGAUUCUUCAGUCUUGCAAAGAUUGUAUCUAUUUUUAUUCACUUACUCCAGUGACUAAAUGGAGACAGCACCUCCCUCUCUCCUUUCCCAUUUCAAAAAUAUUUUUCAACUACAUCAUAUGUUUGUUUAAAUUCCAAGUGAGUUUUGAUACAGCUAGAAUUUGUGUUAGUGUAAGUAGUGAGGUAAGGAUAGAAUUUUUAUUUCCAGGUAGCUGGGAAAUUGUUUUGAACACAUUUAUCUAAUGAUCCAUACUUUCCCCACUGAUUUGAGAGGGCAACUCUGUUUUUUAUUUCUUUUUAUUAAAUACCUAGAUGUUUUUCAGUUUAUUGCUAGAUUCGGAGUUAUAUUCUAUUGACUGUUCACUCUCCUCAGGCACUGGUGUCACAGUAUUUUAAUUAGUAUUGCUUUCUAUUUCUUUUUUGGAGAUAUAAUUGACAUAUAACAUUGUGUAAGUCUAAGGUUACAGUGUGUUG
rnacentral:lncRNA from 1 species